rnacentral:rRNA from 1 species
AUUGAACGCUGGCGGCAUGCCUAACACAUGCAAGUCGAACGAGUGGCGGACGGGUGAGUAAUGUCUGGGAAACUGCCUGAUGGAGGGGGAUAACUACUGGAACCGGUAGCUAAUACCGCAUACCAUCAGAUGUGCCCAGAUGGGAUUAGCUUGUUGGUGGGGUAACGGCUCACCAAGGCGACGAUCCCUAGCUGGUCUGAGAGGAUGACCAGCCACACGGGAACUGAGACACGGCCCAGACUCCUACGGGAGGCAGCAGUGGGGAAUAUUGCACAAUGGGCGCAAGCCUGACGGAGCCAUGCCGCGUGUAUGAAGAAGGCCUUCGGGUUGUAAAGUACUUUCAGCGGGGAGGCGUUAUCCAAAGAAGAAGCAACGGCUAACUACGUGCCAGCAGCCGCGGUAAUUC